UUCUCCCAAACUGAAAAAACGAAACUGUGAGGUAUCCUGCCAAUCAACCGCAUAGUUGUGUAUUGUGACACCACCAGCUUCCUUCUUUUUUUGGUGUCAUUAUUCUGAGGCACGUUUUCGCGACUGUUGGAUAUUUUUAGGUGAACGUCGCACCUCGGCAAGGACGCACCACAGUCUUCGAAACAACGCUGCCUUUGUGUUUUCGAAGCCACAGCACGCGAGACGCCGUGCUUCUAGGAAUGAAGUGCACUAAUUGCUAAGAGUAAGCCGAUUUUCUGGCUGUCCUAAUGGAUGUUGCUUGCUACGGGGAGU
rnacentral:lncRNA from 1 species